GCAAGAUCAUGGUAUUAAACUAAAAUGUAAACAAAUAUGGUCACCAGCUGAUGUUACAACCCCAAAGGGAGGAGAAAUGGACCACAAUAAGGAACUGAGACUAAAUGCUGGCCUGUGAAAAGUUAACAUGCAGGAGAUACAGAGGAGGGGAAGCAGCUUCACUCAUCUAAAGUCAGUAACUGCAACAGUUGUGAAGAUAAUGAACGGAAGCUUGGUAGACUGACAGACCGACCGACAGACAGUAGCAAUGAAG